rnacentral:lncRNA from 1 species
GAGUGACCCCAACAGAGUGUCCCGGGACUCAGGCCUCUGAUCAAGUUACCCCCAGAGGAUCAGAGAGGGGUUGACGAAGGAGAAGCAUUCAGAGGGCACUGGCUUCUGGACAGCAAUGAGUGCCCGGGCCACGCGGCCCCGAAGCCGGCGAGGGAGGCAUGCUCCACCCGGUGAACUGGAUCCCGUGGCUGAGAGUUCAGAGGAGGUCGAGGCAGCCAGUGGGAGCUCCAAGCCCAGCUUUGCCCCACCUCCGGUGAGCUCCGGGCUGGAGCAGCUGGGCCCCAUGGAGGAGGUCAGUGGCCAAGGCCUAGGAAGCAGGUAAGACCCGCUUGGUCUGUGCCCUUCACUCCAGUCCAGACGCAUCUUUGCCAUCCACAGAUCUGCUGAUGUGCCUGCUCUGCUCACACACCUACCAUAGCUCCCUAUUGCCUUCAGCCUGACUUUCUUUUUUUUUUGAGUCUUGCUGUGUCACCCAGGCUGUAGUGCA